CAGGGAUGGUAUAUUAGUUUGGUUGCAGCUUUAAUUUCCACAUACACUCGGGAAGGAGAUGGCACGAACCAUCCUUUCUUCUAUAUCUGUUCCUUUUCUUAUUCUGCUAAUGAUUGUCUUUACUCUCGUUGCACAGAUUACUCCAAUUAGUGCAGGUUUGUCUAUUAUAUAUGCAAAGAUGUGAAAAUGAGAAGAUUGGGUCCCCUCCUAAGUCCACCUCCUCCACCUGAUCAUGCAGAUGGUCCUCAUCCUGUUGGUCCUCAUCCUGUUAUUCCUCCACCAACUGAUGGACCUGGUCGUCCUCCACCCAUUCCCUAACUUUUCAUGAUAUUUUGAUCCCUGAAAUAUUACAAUAAAUCCACAUGGGCUUCAAGCUUUGAUUCUCAUUUUGUUUGCGCAGUUUACAUUAUAAGGUUUUUAUGUACAAAUCAUGCUAUUUGUCUAAAGGCUGUAUUUAAUUACUGAUCGAAUAUUUUAUUCAAAGCGUGUAUGUGCAAAAUAGAUUCGGAGAAAUUAAAAGCCUUUUUAUAGAUU